rnacentral:tRNA from 1 species
GCUGACUUAGCUCAGUUGGCAGAGCACGUCACUAGUAAUGAUGAGGUCGGAGGUUCGAAUCCAAUUAAUCCGCU